CAAAACAGUGUUUAGUGUCUC
rnacentral:siRNA from 1 species